rnacentral:rRNA from 1 species
GAUGAACGCUAGCUACAGGCUUAACACAUGCAAGUCGAGGGGCAUCAGGAAGAAAGCUUGCUUUCUUUGCUGGCGACCGGCGCACGGGUGAGUAACACGUAUCCAACCUGCCUUUACUCGGGAUAGGCCUUUCGAAAGAAAGAUUAAUACCCGAUAGCAUAAUGAUUCCGCAUGGUUUCAUUAUUAAAGGAUUCCGGUAAAAGAUAGGGGAUGGCGUUCCAUUAGGUUGUUGGUG